AUGGCUCGCAAGAAGGUGACCCUCCAGUACAUCGCCAACGACUCCACCCGGCGCGGCACCUUCAAGAAGCGCCUCAGGGGCCUGAUGAAGAAGGCGGGCGAGCUGGCCAUCCUCUGCGACGUCAAGACCUGCGUGCUCGUCUACGGCGAGGGCGAGCCGGCGCCGGAGGUCUUCCCCUCCCACGCCAAGGCGGCGGCCAUCCUGACCCGGUUCCGGAGCAUGCCGGAGCUGGGCCAGUGCAAGAACAAGAUGAACCAGGCGGGCUUCCUCACCCAGCGCAUCGACAAGCUCCGCGACCAGGUCGACAAGUCCCGCCGCGAGUGCCGCGACCGCGAGAUCAAGGUCCUCCUGCACAGGGCCAUGCUCGGCGCCCUCCCGGGCCUCGCCGGCCUCACCAUCGAGGAGCUCACCAGCGUCGGAUGGAAGGUGGACGUGCUCCUCAGGAGCAUCGGCGAACGCAUCGACAAAAUCCAUUCCCUUUCCAUGCAGGCGCCGCCGCCAGCCGCAUACCAGCUCACCACCGGCAGCAGCAGCAUGGAGGAUCACAUGGGGUCUCCGCCGUCUCUGUACCAGGUCCAGGCACCACCGCAGCAACAACAGCAGGAGGGCUGGCUUGACAUGGUGCCCCGGCCCGGAGAAGAUCUCGGCACCCAGCUGCUCUACGGUGGCUAUACCACCGGUGGCCACGACGGCGCCAGCUUCUCCUCCUCCAGCGGCGAUAUGAAUAUGAUGAUGAUGCAGCCCUUCGAUCUGGGCUUCGGUUUGAGCCAUUUCCCUCCCAUGUAA
rnacentral:rRNA from 1 species